rnacentral:rRNA from 1 species
GACGAACGUUGGCGGCGUGCUUAGUACAUGCAAGUCAACUGAAGCAGUGGUAGCAAUCUCGCUGUGGAGGUGGCGCACGGGUGAGUAACACGUAGGUAAUCUGCCUUCAGGUCUGGCAUAACUCCGGGAAACCGGGGCUAAUAGCAGAUGAUGCAGCGGCUCGACAUCGAGACAGUUGUUAAAGCUAUGGCGCCUGAAGAUGAGCCUGCGUCUGAUUAGCUAGUUGGCGGGGUAACGGCCCACCAAGGCAACGAUCAGUAGCUGGUCUGAGAGGAUGAUCAGCCACACUGGAACUGAGACACGGUCCAGACUCCUACGGGAGGCAGCAGUAAGGAAUAUUGCUCAAUGGGAGAAAUCCUGAAGCAGCAACGCCGCGUGAGGGACGAAGGGCUUUGGCUUGUAAACCUCUGUAGUGAGAGAAAAAAAUCCCAAUCUUUGGGACAUGAUGGUAUCUCAAAAGUAAGCCCCGGCUAACUACGUG